rnacentral:rRNA from 1 species
AUUGAACGCUGGCGGCAGGCCUAACACAUGCAAGUCGAGCGGAUCGGCGGUCGGGUGCGUAAUACCUAGGAAUCUGCCUGUUAUUGGUGGAUAACGUCCGGAAACGGGCGCUAAUACCGCAUACUAUCAGAUUAGCCUAGGUCGGAUUCGCUAUUUGGGGGGGUAAAGGCCUACCAAGGCGACGAUACGUAACUGGUCUGAGUGGAUGAUCAGUCACACUGGAACUGAGACACGGUCCAGACUCCUACGGGAGGCAGCAGUGGGGAAUAUUGGACAAUGGGCGAAAGCCUGAUGCAGCCAGGCCGCGUGUGUGAAGAAGGGCUUCGGAUUGUAAAGCACUUUAAGUUGGGAGGCGUUACCAACAGAAUAAGCACCGGCUAACUUCGUGCCAGCAGCCGCGGUAAUAC